rnacentral:rRNA from 1 species
GACGAACGCUGGCGGCGUGCUUAACACAUGCAAGUCGAACGGAAAGGCCCUGCUUUUGUGGGGUGCUCGAGUGGCGAACGGGUGAGUAACACGUGAGUAACCUGCCCUUGACUUUGGGAUAACUUCAGGAAACUGGGGCUAAUACCGGAUAGGAGCUCCUGCUGCAUGGUGGGGGUUGGAAAGUUUCGGCGGUUGGGGAUGGACUCGCGGCUUAUCAGCUUGUUGGUGGGGUAGUGGCUUACCAAGGCUUUGACGGGUAGCCGGCCUGAGAGGGGGACCGGCCACAUUGGGACUGAGAUACGGCCCAGACUCCUACGGGAGGCAGCAGUGGGGAAUGGUGCACAAUGGGCGGAAGCCUGAUGCAGCAACGCCGCGUGCGGGAUGACGGCCUUCGGGUUGUAAACCGCUUUCGCCUGUGACGAAGCGUGAGUGACGGUAAUGGGUAAAGAAGCACGGGCUAACUACGUG